rnacentral:rRNA from 1 species
CGUUUAGGGGUAAACCUGAGAAACCCGAAAGUUCGAAGGAAGAAAUUCAUUCGCGUGUCGAUGUUGACGUUGAGUGUUAGCAUGACGAAAGGCGUUUCUACGCCAUUUGCAUCUUUCAUUGUUCGAUUCAGCAACGAACGCGUGCACUUUUCUUCUGGUAGAACGUCGCGAUCCGUUGGGUGUCGGUCUACGAAUUGCAAUGGAGAUCGAAUGUUACACGUGUUCUUUGAGCACGUGGACACGUUUGAACUUGUAAUUUCUCCGACCGACUUGCUUGACGGUAUACGAACGGUUUAGGGCCGCUCUAGGAGCGUUCGACUCCGGGCAAGCGCGCCAGCUGUGUCGAUGACCGGACUUUGUGCUGAUCACGAUCACUGGUGACUGUUGGCCCGGAUGUUCUUGAACCGACCCUACUAAAGUCCAUCGGAAAAACCGAUCAGCGGCGCUAUAGCUUUGGGUACUUUCAGGACCCGUCUUGAAACACGGACCAAGGAGUCUAGCAUGUACGCAAGUCAUUGGGAAUAAUUAAACCUAAAGGCGAAAUGAAAGUAAAGAUUCUCCUUGCGGGAAUCUAGGGAGGACGAACAGUUUUACCAGAAACGGUAGCUGAUCUGCACUCCCGGGGCGUCUCAUUCUCAUUGCGAGAAGAGGCGCACCAAGAGCGUACACGCUGGGACCCGAAAGAUGGUGAACUAUGCCUGGUCAGGAUGAAGUCAGGGGAAACCCUGAUGGAGGUCCGUAGCGAUUCUGACGUGCAAAUCGAUCGUCGGAACUGGGUAUAGGGGCGAAAGACUAAUCGAACCAUC